UCGGAGCUGAGGGGCAGGUCGGGGUGAGCCCUGGCCGGCCCGCCGCGGCCAUGGCCGCCCCCGCGUUCCGACUCCCGCCUUUGCCCACGAUUCGGGAAAUCAUUAGGUUGUUCAGACUGCAGGCGAUGAGGCAGCUCUCCCAGAACUUCCUCCUGGACCUGCGGCUGACAGAUAAAAUUGUAAGGAAAGCUGGUGACCUGACCAGUGCUUAUGUCUGUGAAGUGGGCCCUGGACCUGGGGGAAUCACAAGAUCCAUUCUCAAUGCUGGUGUUGCUGAACUUCUGGUGGUUGAAAAGGACAUUCGAUUUAUUCCUGGAUUACAGAUGCUUUCUGAUGCAGCACCUGGAAAACUGAGAAUUGUCCAUGGAGAUGUGUUGACAUUUAAGAUAGAAAAGGCUUUUCCAGAAAGUCUUAAAAGACAGUGGGAGGAUGAUCCUCCAGCUGUACAUAUUAUCGGAAAUCUGCCUUUCAGUGUGUCAACUCCACUGAUUAUCAAGUGGCUUGACAACAUUUCUCACAGGGAUGGACCUUUUACUUAUGGCAGGACCCAGAUGACCUUGACUUUUCAAAAGGAAGUGGCAGAGAGACUUACAGCCAGUACAGGAAGCAAACAGCGCAGCCGCCUGUCCAUCAUGGCCCAGUACCUCUGCCACGUUCAGCACAUCUUGACAAUCCCAGGGCAGGCAUUCCUGCCCAAACCAGAGGUGGAUGUGGGAGUGGUCCACUUCAAGCCCCUGAAGCAGCCCCGGAUCCAGCAGCCCUUCAAGCUGGUGGAGAAAGUCGUCCGCAGUACAUUUCAGUUCCGAAGGAAAUACUGCCAUCGAGGGCUGGGAAUGUUAUUCCCUGAAGCUCAGCGCUUAGAAAGCACUGGAAAACUCUUAGAGCUGGCAGAGGUGAACCCUACUCUCCGACCCGGCCAGCUCUCUGUCUCACAUUUUAAGAGUCUCUGUGAUGUGUACCGGGAAAUGUGUGAUGAAGACCCCCACCUCUUUGCUUAUAAUUUCAGACAUGAACUCAAGCAAAAUAAAAGCAAAAAUCAGGAACAAGAGGAUGACGAGGAUAGUCACAGACUAUAGCUGCUCUUCGGGGCCAGUGGCCCACGGGAUGCGUCACUUCUCAGCUGCCCUCUUUCAUCUUCUACAGAAUAACAAAAAUACCAGUUACCAGGUGUGACUUAUAUCCCUUUUACUGUACAGCUUGGUAGAGAAAAUAAAUAUAAUCAAGAUACAGUACAAGCUUUCUUUUAAUAUAUACUGCAUAGAUAUGACGUGUUUAGUAUAAACAGCAUCUAUUACAACAUUAAAAAAUGAAGUACCUGUGCCCUCACCCACAAUUAAAUAACUUAAGGAUGCUUUAAAUAAAGCAAAAACUGGCAGCUCAAAGACAAUGCCCAGAGGGUUGGAAAAAAAUUGACCUUUUAAAAAGCUAUUAAUCACAACUUCCCCACCUUGCUUUUUCAACAUAAAUUAAAAUAAUUAGAAAGCAAUUUUAUUUUAAGGAAUUCUAAGUCAUUUUGAUACCUGCUCAAAAGGGAUGUAAACUAGGUAAUUUACAGAUUCUGACCAGUUUAGUCUAGUUUUCUGAUCCACAAUAAAUUAAAAUAACUUAAAUCUUUACAAUGAUUUCAUGGGAAAAUGUAUACCACGCAAGACCCAGUAAUGGGUCAUUUUCCAGCAAUUUCCACUUGGCCACCAGUUUCAACAACUCAACCCACAUCUGGAUUGAAAGUGGACUAUGACUUUCCGUGGCUCUCUGUUUCAUAAAAACACUCCUCGUUGACAACUGAUGUUAAACUCUGGACACUGAAUUCUCGCUCUAGAACAGAAUUGAGGUCAAGGCUGGCAUUUUCAGAUUGACUGUCGAGGGACUGAUGACGCAGCUGCGCCUUUAGCAGAGUCCCCCUGUCCCUCUUGGUGCUGUUUGCUCUUCGCUUAAUGGGACAGAAGUGCCCCCGGACAAGUUUGGGCUGCGGUCCUGCCUGCUGGCCCUCGGUGCCAGGCUGCGGUUCAGCUGACACAGCGUUGGGCUCCUCAGAGAUUCUCAGUCUCUGGAACUGAAUCUCGAUGUCUUUGGUCGGGCUGCGCUGUCUCAGAGCCUGAUGGCAGUCCUCGUCCUCGUCACUCAGAAUGUCGCUCUCUUUGAUGAGACUGUCUGAGAAAUCUCCCAUGUCAGGGGGCAUGUGUUUCAGGGAGUCCUGCCUGCUCCCGGCCGUGUGGCAGCUGCUCUGGGUGCUGCUGCCCAGGCUGCCCUCGUCAGAGUCCAGCGAGCUGCCCUUCCCAGGCUCACCGGGCCACUCGCUGCUGGAGGAAUUUUUGAGGACUUUUAAGGACCUGGAUGAAGCUGCAAAGAGGAAAGCACACAUCCCCUUAGGAUAAAGCAACAAACUCCUCAGCUCAGCUGAAAGAUGGUCUCUGGCCGGCCUUCUAUUUCUGACUUCGUAUGGAUCAGCUCCCAUAUGGAAUUAUUUUCUGUCCCUGUGUUAAAGGAAACAAGGAUGCCGCAGUUUGCAGUUUUCUUUAUAAACCAGUAUGACAGCUCUCUUAAAAACUACAGAAAGGAAAAGAGAAAGAGGAGUCUUAAUUACCUUAUACAAAUUGUCUUCCAAGGUUGUUUAACAAAGCUCCGAGAACCCACUAUGCCAGCCCGUUCUAUUUUAGGCCAAUAAUUUCCGUCUUUACAAAAGAAGACUCAUCCCAUCCCUGUCACAUGAAGGCCCAGUCUGCCCUCUGGGGUUCAGUGUCACCACGAGCACUGCUCAGAGACUGCCACCAGGUGGCGCCCCACCCAGCGUGUCUGAUGCACAGCAUUGGGGCUGCAGACAACCACAGACCUCACAGGGGAAGAAAGAGGCCCAGCCGUGGCUUUGGUGGCACUGCUGGCUAACCAAGUGACCUGAAGUGACGUCUCAACUCACUGAGCUUGAACUACCUCCUUGGCAAAAUAAAACUGGAAUCAUCCCAUCAGAGGGGUUUGGAGCUACUCCAAUGAGCUCAUUUUUGCCAAAGUAUUUUGCCCACCCACAGGGACGGCCGUAUUCAUCUGCUGCUUUCACCUGUUAGCUUAGACCCGAGAUCACGGUACUGGAAAUACUUCAGAAUAUGAGAGGGGACUUGCCGGCCAGCGGGUGGCAGCAGUUAGCCACCGCUUCCCUUUCUCACCUGUCAGGUGGUAGUGCUCCUCGCUCUCGGGGUCCGUCAGGGACACGAGCUCCUUGAGCAGCAGCGGGUACUUGAGCACCCUCUGCACCGGCUUGAUGAGGUAUGACUCCAGUGUGGACGAGUGCUGCUUGGUGGGGUUCCGGGCAUCCAGGAAAGCCUUGAAGGCUUUGUCAGUUUUAGCUGUGAACAAAUCGAUAAACACCCUGAGCCGAGCAUGGUGUGGGUCUCAUCUACAAGGUGAAUUACAUUCUGCACCACUCGCCCCCUUGGUCCUCCCACUGCCGUCCUGCAGGGCCACACAGGAUGCAAGCACCCAGCCCUUGGGACUUCAGCACCCCAGCUCUGCGGCAGGCUGCACACAGGCAGCUGACAAGGCUGCGGGAGGCAUCCACACCAGGGAGGAGCGCGGGGUCGGAGAACAGGCAUGUCUGACUGGAAGGAAGGGCAUGCCUGUCUGCCUGGAAAGUGAGUUUCAAACCACUCAUAAAGCCACACCACAGUGGCACCCAGAUCCCACCAUACCCCCGAUCAGGUUGCUAGGACACGAUAAACCCGUGCUUUUCCCACUGUCCUAGUACAAAUUGUUCCUUAUUUUGUAAACUUAAAAGGGCUAUUCGUUAAGCAGUAUUUUUGUUUCUUUAGAAGAAGUCAAUCAGCUCUACAGCCUGCACCUCUGUUUAGUGUCUGUGCCGGUGGGUGCUCCAGCUGCUGCUUUGGAUGCUACCUGCUGGCAUUGCUGGCCAGCUGCUUGAAAUUCAGCCCAUUUGAAUGAAGAGAGUCCCUGUCUGGAGUUUUGUUGCAAAGGCAGAAUCCAGCACGGCCAGGAGCUGCGGUGCCAUCCAGUGCCAGAGUGACCACGAGAUGGUACCUCAUCAUCACGAUGAAGGAGCGCUAAGCGAGCCCCUGGGCACUGCGAGGAGAUGCCCGUGGCGGCAGAGCUCUGUUGAAGAACUAGAGACAGGUCGUGGCUGGUUCUCAUGAACAUGGAGCAUGAAGCACACCAGAGCCCCACUUUUACACUGGGAUACUGUGGAGUUCGGGGUCUAAGCCAAAUGACAGAACCGCAUCUGUGGAACCAGGUAAACACUUCCCGAGUUGAAAUAAACCUCCGCACAUCCGCCAUGCUGUAGGGCCAUUCCCUGGUUUUGAGAAACACACAUUGACUUGCCAACUGCAGCUCCACUUUGACAGUGCCCUUAAGAGGCAGUUGACGACAGAGAAAGGUCUGGAACAUAGUGUGGCCGCUCCCACCCUGUUGAUAUAAUUCUGAAAGUUCAAGUGCAGAGCCCUCCUUCAACAACUGCCCCAUCAUGGGAGAGAGCCCUGAUUCUGGGAGGUGGCAGAGCAUCCUGGAAGUCCAGCCUUUGUGCUGAAGGAGGCAGUCGUGUCCUGGGGAAGUCAUCCUUGUCCCAGAUGCUUGUGACAUUACCACAGGUCAGCUUCAGUAGGCUCAUGUCUUAUCUCCAGGUCCUCAAGAGUAUGCAGGUACCGCCUGACAACUUUCCCAGGAGACACUCGAGAUGAACCUUCAUCAGGUGGCCUACCCUCUCCUGACACCCCUUCCACUGGAGAAGCGUCACAGGGGAGAGACCACUGAGGACUUGUAUUUUUUCCAGUGUUCUCUGUAGACUGAAUUACUGAUGCCCACAGCCUUGAGCAUAAAUUCCUGUGCCUGCAUCACUGACUUCUCCCCGGUCUCUGUCACCAGAAAUGAGAAUUUAAACCUAAAGAGGUGUGUGGUGAGUGGACGAAGCCUUCAGGAGCAGAAGAAUGCUAGUGAGCACUCCUGGUUUAUUUAGGGUGUUGGAGAAACAGACUGGGCUGCAGGCUGAUGCAGUGAUGGUGAUGGCAGCAGAGAGCCCCAACAUGCCUGACGGGCACGUGCCUGAGGGCCCAGGGGCCCAAGGCACCCUCAUCUGGCUAUACGCUGACCACUGCAGGUCAGCACAGCUCAGGCAUCUCUGUCAGUGUCGGAAUCGUGUGUGCUGUUGGCAUGAAGAGGAGCAGGGGGCUGCCCACACAGAUGUACGUGGACAUGAUGGAAGUGUGGAGGCAUCAAUGGGCGUUUUCUCCUGGUUGCACCAAAGGCUCAUGUUCAUCAACACAUUUGAUGUGAAUUCGGUGAUGGCUGGUUUGCAGGUUUAAGAAGGUGGUUAACAGGAAAGAAGGAAAUGGUUUACAUUCCUUUCUACUCUGCUCCAGGGGCUUUUGAGUGUCAAUGUUUAGAGCAGAGAGUUUGCCAGCCCCUAAUCCCCAAAAGAACACAGAUAUAACUUAAAUAGCAAAAUGAUACGUAGCAAGUCAGUAGUUUUGCUCGUUGGACACGUGCUCAGUUAUUAAUUGAAAUAAACCAAAAACUUACCCUUGUUUUCUCAAAUUUAGGGCCAGCAAUGGAGCAUGAACCACUAAAGUUGCAUUUACCCUACCAUUAAGUACAGAUUUACCCUUUCACAGUUAAAAUACAAAAGUUAGCUUUAUAGAAGGUGGAAGCAACUUACCUCGCUCUAGAACCUUCUGCACUUUACUGUGAUUAGCACAGAAUCCGCUGUAGAGUUUAAAGUGGUCUGCGUAGUAAAGGAAGGAGCCUCCGAGGGAAAACAGCAGUUUCUGGAAGGGAAGGGGAGAAGCCACAUCAGCUGUGAUUGAAUCACUGCCACUGGCGAGGCCCUUGGCUGAUUCUGCAUCCCUCUGGCGAAUGUCUUUGAGAUGCCAGAGCAGUGACGGCUCAGAGCAAGCCUGGGCUCGGUAAGCCCAAGGCCCCAUCAGCUGGAGAGCAGCCCGGGCAACUCCCUAGCAGGUUUCUGCUUGAUUGAAAUGUUUCUGGUUGACAUUUCUGAUUGAAAUGUCAGUUAACAUGGUGGACAAUUGAAACAGUUCUAUAAAAAUAUAUGUGACACGGCAGCAUAUAAGAAAUGGGCAAGCUGAGGAAUCGCGCCAGUUCUGCCUUAUUUGGUGUGACCGAGGCUGUGCCUGUGUUUCCCUGCCCUUGCAACUGCCUUCACCUCUUGCUCGUCAGCCAGCGCACACUGGGGACAGGGCUCCAUGGACGAGGAGGGUCUGCAGAACAGCUGCGGGCCUGUGCUGCCAUCACGUGCCACCUGCCGCUCUGGCCGCAGACGCAGUCACCCUGCUGAUCCUUUAGGAGAGCCGCGCACAGGGCACUGACCUGGUCAGCGGCUGGGCAGAUCCCAGAGACCCUGCUGCCCAGAGUGCUGAUCGCCAGACUCCUCGAGGGAGAAGGCGAAAUGUGAUGGCACUAAGGUAAUCUUUGCAAUAAUUGACGGACAGUACGUUCUUUUUCAAGGAAAGUUUUACUCUACCCACCUGUUUUUAAGUCUGAGAUACUUACUCGAAACUGAGAGGGGGUUUCAAGUAUGUUAAAGUCGGACGAUGCUGCAAUCCCAUCCUCCAGAGUCUCCAGAAACACCUUUUGAAAUUCAAGCAUCUCUGGCAAACUUCCAAAAAGUGACUCCAUCUGCAUGAAGACCAGGAUUUUGAAAAGAGCAUAUUAGCGAUGGAGGCCUAGGUCCCCUUCAGACCCGCAAGUAAACCACGAGUCAUCCGCCGAGGUGCACAGCAGGGACCCUGCAGACUGGGUGGCACCUUCCUCGGGCAGUGCCAUUUCUACACAGGCAGUUUACACAGCUGGUCCCUGCAAUUCUAAAAUGACUUUGAAUAGGUGUGAAAUUUUCAGAAUGCAAAUCAGGGGAAAUGGAAUUCAGCAGAAAAGCAAUAAUUACUGUGAUUUAACAUUAAACAAAUCAUGUUUUAAAAAGAAGUCUGAUGCGCCUUCUACACAGGGCGUGGCCGUCCUGUGCAGGUCAGCUCACGCCCGGCCACGCCGCCCUCCAUGGACAAGUGGCCUCGCAGACUUGGUGUGUUCUUCGGAGAUCAACAGGUAGAACCUAGGAGGCCCCUGAGAGUGAGGCCAUGGAGCUAGUCAGUGGCCAGAGGGACGUGGUCACUCACCUCAUCUUGGGUAAGGAAGGUCUCACUCUGAAGUGGCUCCAAGUAUAACUCAAAGAGGCAGCUCAGGUCCUAAAAGGCAGGAGAGAGUCCAAAUGCCACGUGUUCCCCGGCCCUGGCAGCAGCUCCAAAGACCCCCCCCCCCCCAUUAGGAAUGAUGGUUUCAGAGUAGUUGGAUUUUUUUACUUUCAAACUGGUCAUUACUGCCUCCCUACUUCAGAGGCUAAUACCAGCUCCACAUUUUCCUUUAGUGCUUGAGGGCUACUCUGCUUAGUAUCUUGUUGACAGAUCCAGAAUCUUCCUUUCCUCUCCUGCAACAGGGGAGUCACCUCCCUGUGGAGAAGGGGAAGCCUGUCAGGUGUGGCCACACCUGGCUGACAUGCGUUAGGGGCAGGGCAGCAGCUCCAACCGAGAACUGGAGGGAGAGGACAGGUUCUGGGGAGCUCUUCAAUUUGGGGGUUGAAGCACUAGCAAACUUUCAAGCCCCCAUAUUCAAAUACAAGAAAAAUUUCCAAGGAUUAGCAGCUAUGAUAUUUGCAAGCUAGGCCGCAGUCAAGGCUCCAGCAGACCAGGCCUCAGACAUACGAAUAGUCUCUUUUCACAAACUCUUCAGGUAAAGGGCUUGUUUUUUUCGGUUAAGAAUUUGAAGCCAAGACUGAGAUACAGUUUACAGAUAGAAAAAUUUCUUUCCUUCUUUCCUUUGUACUGUAGAACUUUGAGUCCGAAAUACUAGCCUGACCCCAAAGUCAGCUUUUGGCCUCCUUCAUUUUGCAAUGAAGAAGUCUAGACCUGGAGCCCUUUGUCAAGCCUGGAGUCUCCAGAACCUUAUGGUGGGAGUCCUGACCGUGUGGACAGACCUCCGGCCACGCCGUCUCCCUGGCCUUCCCCCCGCCCCUCACCCCACAGUGGCUACUUCAGGGCAGGGGGUGUGAGAAGUUACUCUCGGGAAAAUACAGAUGUUGAAAAUUCAGGUUACGUGCAGGGAUCCAGGUUAAAGAACAGUAAGUAAAAUUGCAUGUUAAAUGUCAACAACAAAAAAAGUGAAAACGGUGUGUGUGUGAGAUCACAGCAGGCGCGGGUGUUGGAGACAAAGGGAGCGGGCUGCGCUGAGGAGACAAACGCACGUUCUCUGUGUCACCGCGCCAUAGUCCACCCUCCCAUGGGGGGGUGCCCUGAUGGCGAACUGGAACAGCAACCAAAAGGGAUGUGCAUUCUGCUCCCCCUCGACCCGGGCUCCUGGGGAGGAGCCCCAGGUCCUUGCUCAAGCAGUCAGAAGGGCUCUAGGCUUUGGGACAGGCCACGGCUGCUCCAGAACAGUCCAGAAAACUAGUCUGGACUCUGCAAGUUCUCAUCUCCCUGCGCCAGAGGCAGGGCAAGACUUGAUGGGGAGCAAAGUGCCAUCUGUCUAGCUGGUCCUCUCCUGGGAGACCAAAGGAGGGGCUUUGGGUAGUUCUGCGUCACCUGUGAGGGCCUGCAGUUCAGUCCCGGUAAGGGGACAGUGACGUCAACAAAACGGGAACUCAGGGUCUGGUGGAGAAGGGGCUUGUGUGCUUGCGUGAAAGCUUAAUGCUGGGACUGAGCACAUCAGAGCUGGACAGUUGGGAACCCAGAGCUGUGCUAGGCUGUUUGCAGCAACCGGCCAAUCAGAUGAGGCUAAAAUAUUUCCAAAGCUUGAGCAGAUACUUAAAGCAAAAGAAUCUCUCUCCAGGUUCCUGUAUUCUUCAGAAAACGUUUCUUAAACUACUAACUAGGGGCUUCUGCCCCUCAGUGAUGGUUGGGACACCAGGUGGCGACCAGCACAUCAGUGGACUGGGUUGCGCCCAUGGCCAUCGGCGCGCCGGCCGGCCUGAGCUCUGGGCGGCGGCUGCCUCCAAAGCCACUUGUGAACAAGGUCUAGUUCCUCGUUGCCCAGAGUGAUCUUGUGCUAACCCAGCCCAGGCUCCCUUCCCACAUUGCCAUGACGAACCAGAACAUCUGUUUCCAUAGUGAAAGCUACCUUGGUAACAAAGUGAGCCAAGAAACUGAUUUUCUCCAAGGCCUCCCUGCCACCCUCUCGCCCUCCCCUCCCGGAGCAGGUGUCUCCCCCGCGCGGCGGCUCCUGGGCAGAGGUGUCGGGACACACAGCUGGGCAUUACGGACAGGAAGCGAGACAGGAUGAAGGCCUGCGCCUCCCUCACCUUCACAUAGGACUUCUCCGUGUCCACCAGCUCCUGGAUGACCUUCCGGAGGCGAUCUGCAUCCGAGAGGUGGCGGGCCAGCGGCCGCGGCGGGUCCCGACUCUCCCUGGGCGCCUCCAUGCCGCUGGUCUGGGCGCCGUUACAGCUCCUGCACA